rnacentral:tRNA from 1 species
GUUUAAGUAGCUUAAAUAAGAGCAUAAUAUUGAAGAUAUUAGGGUAAUUUGAUUCUUAAAUA